rnacentral:rRNA from 1 species
AAACUCAAAGGAAUUGACGGGGGCCCGCACAAGCGGUGGAGCAUGUGGUUUAAUUCGACGCAACGCGCAGAACCUUACCAGCCCUUGACAUGUCCAGGACCGGUCGCAGAGAUGUGACCCUCUCUUCGGAGCCUGGAGCACAGGUGCUGCAUGGCUGUCGUCAGCUCGUGUCGUGAGAUGUUGGGUUAAGUCCCGCAACGAGCGCAACCCCCGUCCUUAGUUGCUACCAUUUAGUUGAGCACUCUAAGGAGACUGCCGGUGAUAAGCCGCGAGGAAGGUGGGGAUGACGUCAAGUCCUCAUGGCCCUUACGGGCUGGGCUACACACGUGCUACAAUGGCGGUGACAAUGGGAUGCAAAAGGGCGACCUCUAGCAAAUUCAAAAAA